AACUCUUUCUGAUAUUUACAGACCAUGUGUUGAAAACCUCCCUAUGGACUUUUUUUCAGCCUCGUCUAUGAUUGAUCGUAAAGCGGAAGUCUUUUGAAAAAAGCGCUUUGUGUCUGUGACAAGCAGUUUCUGGCGAAACAAGAAGAGGAACAUGUCACGCAGUGCAAAUCAUCCCGGUCAAGAGAACAAUGAAAGCAACAUGUUGAACAUCAUGUUACUGGGACAGGCAGGCACUGGAAAGAGUGCGAGUGGAAACACAAUCCUUGGAACAAACUGUUUUAAGUCUUAUGCAAGCUCUGUACCUGUUACUAGAGAGUGUCAGGUAGAACAGAGGCAGUUAUUUGGGACAGAGGUUAAGGUCAUUGAUACCCCUGACUUCUUCCAUGAAUAUGUAAAAAAUUCUGACAAAGAUUGUAAAAAGCUCUGUGGGGUUGAGUCUAGUGUGUACUUAUUGGUCCUUCAGAUUGACCGAUUCACAGAGGGUGAGAGAGGGAUAUUAGAACAAUUGGAAGAAGCCUUGGGUGAAAUCAGAGAGAAAACGAUUGUUCUCUUCACUUUUGGAGAGCAACUGACAAAUAUCACCUUGGAUGACUAUAUCAGAAAAGCAGAACCUCAUCUGAAGGAAAUACUAAGUCACUGCGGGAACAGGUAUCAUCUGUUCAAAAACACAAAACCAGACCGUCAGCAGGUAGAGGGUCUGAUGGAGAAGAUACGCAAACUCCUGGGCCAGGAUAACAUGUUCCCAGAUUUGAGAAUGUCCUCUCUACGCGUUCUGUUAGGGAUAGGGUUAGCGAUUGUGGGAGUAAUUGUGGGAGUAAUCAUUUAUGAAUUAUUUGACAUGACAUGAAAGCUUUCAGCUAAAUGAGUAAGUGCACUCAUUCUAGAGUCCCGUUUCACUGUUUAUAGCUGCUGACAGCAGUGGCAGUUAGCCUAGAGGUUAAGAGCGUUGGGCCAGUAGCUCAAAGGUUGCUGGUUCGAUUCCCUGAGACGACUAGGUGAAACAUCUGUCAAUGUACCCUUGAGCAAGGCACUUAACCGUAGUUGCUCUCGAUAAGAGUGUCUGUUUAAACGUGGCAGGUAUUGAGAAUGAUGUAUGCUUGGUGUAUUUUCUUUAACCCAUGUUGUUUACGUUUUGUGACUUGUUUUACUGUUGUUUAAAAAAAUAUCAAUUAUUUUUGGUGUAAGACAACACCAUUAUUCUGUUAUGAGAAUUAAUGUUUAAUUACUGUCAUCAAUUAACCAAUGUUUAUGCUGGAAACAACAAGACUCACUAAUUACUUACAUUUAUCCCCUGCUGUUUAAUCACACAAUACCAAGCUCAAUUUGUUUCAGAAGGAAAUGAAAUGUUAAUAAUAUAAAUGUAAAAUGUGAUGUAUUAAAGUAAACCUGAGGAAGCAGUGACACUGUCCACAAAUCUCUUCUAUGUGUAUCAAGCAUGCACAUUAGGAGAAUAAAAUAUUUUAUAACAAUA